UACGUAGGUGGCAAGCGUUGUCCGGAUUUAUUGGGUUUAAAGGGUGCGUAGGCGGCCUGGUAAGUCAGCGGUGAAAUACCCACGCUCAACGUGGGAACUGCCGUUGAUACUGCCGGGCUUGAGUUCGUCCGAGGUCGCUGGAAUGCGUGGUGUAGCGGUGAAAUGCAUAGAUAUCACGCAGAACACCGAUUGCGAAGGCAGGUGACUGGGACGCGACUGACGCUGAGGCACGAAAGCUAGGGUAGCGAACGGG
rnacentral:rRNA from 1 species